UACGAAGGGGGCUAGCGAUGUUCGGAAUUAAUGGGCGUAAAGCGCACGUAGGCGGAUUCUUAAGUCUGGGGUGAAAGCCCGGAGCUCAACUCCGGAACUGCCUUGGAUACUGGGAGUAUCGAGGAUGGAAGAGGUCAGUGGAAUGCCGAGUGUAGAGGUGAACUUCGUAGAUAUUCGGCGGAACACCAGUGGCGAAGGCGACUGGCUGGUCUAUUUUUGACGCUGAGGUGCGAAAGUGUGGGGAGCAAACAGG
rnacentral:rRNA from 1 species